rnacentral:lncRNA from 1 species
UUCAGCCAUUCAAUUUGUCAUCACAAGAAAAUAAUAUAAGUAUUUUCGUAUUGGAAUGGAAGUCAUAAGGAAAUACUCUAUCGCUAUCCACACAGCUGUUGCCACCACGCUGUUAGCACCAGCAUAAUAAUCACUGCAUCUUAGGUCCUGUUUGGUAGCGUUUGUCUUAGCUUCAGUUUCACCUAUUUGCGCAAAACGAGCUACUGCAGCGUGAAGUCGUUUUUCCCUUACUGUUUUCUGUGCUUUCAGCUGU